GAUGAAGAACGCAGCGAAAUGCGAUACGUAAUGUGAAUUGCAGAAUUCAGUGAAUCAUCGAGUCUUUGAACGCACAUUGCGCCCGCCAGCAUUCUGGCGGGCAUGCCUGUUCGAGCGUCAUUUCAACCCUCGACCUCCCCUUGGGGAGGUCGGCGUUGGGGACCGGCAGCACACCGCCGGCCCUGAAAUGGAGUGGCGGCCCGUCCGCGGCGACCUCUGCGCAGUAAUACAGCUCGCACCGGGACCCCGACGCGGCCACGCCGUAAAACACCCAACUUCUGAACGUUGACCUCGAAUCAGGUAGGACUACCCGCUGAACUUAAGCAUAUCAAUAACGGAGA
rnacentral:misc_RNA from 1 species